AGUGAACGCUGGCGGCGUGCCUAAUACAUGCAAGUCGAGCGGAAAGGCCCUUCGGGGUACUCGAGCGGCGGACGGGUGAGUAACGCGUAAGAAUGUACCCCAAACUGAGGGAUAACUGCUCGAAAGAGUAGCUAAUACCGCAUGUGCUCUUCGGAGUAAAGCUUCGGCGGUUUGGGAACAGCUUGCGUAGGAUUAGCUAGUUGGUAAGGUAAUGGCUUACCAAGGCGACGAUCCUUAGCUGGUCUGAGAGGAUGAUCAGCCACACUGGGACUGAGACACGGCCCAGACUCCUACGGGAGGCAGCAGUAGGGAAUUUUCCACAAUGGGGGCAACCCUGAUGGAGCAACGCCGCGUGAUGGAUGAAGGCCUUCGGGUUGUAAACAUCUUUUGUCUGUGACGAAUAUGACGGUAGCAGACGAAUAAGGAUCGGCUAACUACGUGCCAGCCGCCGCAGUAA
rnacentral:rRNA from 1 species